AACGAACGCUGGCGGCGUGCUUCAUACAUGCAAGUCAAGGGGAAAGAGCCUUCGGGCUUGAUUAUACUGGCGGACGGGUGAGUAACACGUGAAUAAUCUGCCUAUUAGACUGGGAUAACUUACCGAAAGGUGAACUAAAACCGGAUACGAUUAUGUUUGUAAGCAAAUAUAAAGAAAUGCGGGGCAACCUGCAGCUAAUAGAUGAGUUCGCGUCCGAUUAGCUAGUUGGUGGGGUAAAGGCCCACCAAGGCAACGAUCGGUAGCCGACCUGAGAGGGUGAUCGGCCACACUGGGACUGAGACACGGCCCAGACUCCUACGGGAGGCAGCAGUAGGGAAUUUUGCACAAUGCUCGAAAGAGUGAUGCAGCAACGCCGCGUGAAUGAAGAAGGCCUUCGGGUCGUAAAAUUCUUUCGAUAGGGAAGAACACCUUAACGAGUAACUGCGUUAAGCAUGACGGUACCUAUAGAAGCAGCCCCGGCUAACUCCGUGCCAGCAGCCGCGGUAAUAC
rnacentral:rRNA from 1 species